GGGCUGAUGGCGAAAUCCGGUAUCGCGCUCCGCUGGCAGUGGAGAGACUGCGGGUUCAAUCCCGUGAAAGUCCCGCUCAGUCCA
rnacentral:tRNA from 1 species